UCCCAGAAAUCGACCUCAGCCAGGCCC
rnacentral:piRNA from 1 species